GUUCCUGUGAUAUUGGGUGAUGGUGAUGACAUUCAAAGGUCAUGACCUCCUUUCUCUCCCCUAUUUAUUUCAACUUGAACAGCACACUCCAUAUUCCCAUCACACACACACACACAACUAGGAAGUGAAGUGACCACCCAUUUUUUGUUUCAUUUUUUUUUCUGUCUCUUCUCUUGUUAGGACUAUGGUCAUGGCUGAGAGACAGAUCUUAGUUAUUCCCAUGGUCUUUGUGUUGUUAUUUGUGGGAGUGUUUGCUAGUGCUAGCACUCAUGCAGGAAACGCAGCAGCAGCAGAAGAAGCUGACAGGAUAUCUUCGCUUCCUGGGCAACCUAAGGUCUCCUUUCAACAGUUCUCUGGAUAUGUUACUGUUGAAGAAGUUGCUGGUAGAGCUCUAUUUUACUGGUUCACUGAGGCUGCUCAUGACCCCUUGUCUAAACCCUUGGUCGUUUGGCUCAAUGGAGGUCCUGGUUGCUCUUCUGUGGCCUAUGGAGCAUCAGAAGAAAUAGGCCCAUUUAGAAUCAACAAGACUGCCUCAGGUCUAUAUCUUAACAAGUUCUCCUGGAAUGCUGUGGCCAACCUCUUGUUCCUGGAAACUCCUGCUGGCGCUGGCUUUUCCUACAGCAACCGGUCCUCUGAUUUGGAAGAUACCGGGGAUAUUCGGACUGCUAAGGACUCACUAGAAUUCUUGGUUCGAUGGAUGAAUCGGUUUCCACGAUACAAAAAUCGCGAAGUGUAUCUUACUGGAGAGAGUUAUGCAGGCCAUUAUGUUCCUCAGCUGGCUAGAGAAAUUAUGAUGUACAACAAAAGGUCUAAGCAUCCAAUAAAUCUCAAAGGAAUUAUGGUGGGGAAUGCUGUAACAGACAACUACUACGACAACCUUGGAACGGUGACUUACUGGUGGAGUCAUGCAAUGAUCUCUGAUAGGACAUAUCAGCGACUCAUUAACACGUGUGAUUUUCGCAGGCAAAAGGAAUCAGAUGAAUGUGAAUCUCUAUAUAGUUAUGCUAUGGAUCAAGAAUUUGGCAACAUUGACCAGUACAACAUUUAUGCAACCCCUUGUAACAACUCUGAUGGUGGCACAUCUACUAGACAAACUAUUCGAUUGCCUCAUCGAACCCAUAAGAUUUUCAGGCAAUUAUCUGGCUAUGAUCCUUGUACCGAAAAAUAUGCUGAGAUUUAUUACAAUAGGCCAGAUGUUCAGAAAGCACUCCAUGCCAAUGUAACCAAAAUUCCUUACAAGUGGACUGCCUGCAGUGAAUUUCUAAAUCGAAACUGGAAGGAUACCGAAGUUUCCAUUCUCCCAAUUUACAGACAAAUGAUUGCUGGUGGCCUGAGGGUUUGGGUAUUCAGCGAUCUGAAGUGGGGACAUAGACUCAGUUGUGCCAGUUACUGCAACAAGAUACGCCCUUGCACGGCUUAAAUUAGCAACAAAAAUUCCAUGGUAUCCAUGGUAUGUUAAGAAGCAGGUCAGUAAUUUAACCCCUUUGCUUAUUUUUUAUCAAACAAGCAUUAUUGAUAGUUAUACUUGUUUCUUAGGCACUGUUUAACUUAAACAAGAGUAGAUAAUAUUUCAAUUUAAAGGCUAAUUAUCAGUGGGAAAGUCUACCAGAAGGUGCAGAACUGAUGUUAAAAAAAUAAUAAUAAUAAUUUAGGGCUUAAACUGGAUAGUCAAUGCAAUCCUCCCCCAACAAACUUUGUCUUUGUCAGACUUGUCAAUGUUGAUAUUUUGAUUUCUUUCUUUCUUGUGGACACAAACUUCUUGAUAUAGCUAUCAGUACCUAAUAUUAGAUUCUAAUUAGGUUUCUUUAUUGAUAGAUGUUUUAGAUUAAAAUGAAAUAUUACAAGAAAGGGAAAUAUUUUUCUGAGAUUGUAGUAAGAAAUAAUAAAUGGGAUAUGGAAUGGUGAAGGUGGGAGGUUGGACAGAGGUAUAUGCAGGGCUAACAUUUGCAACAGUGAGAGGAGCUGGUCAUGAAGUGCCUCUUUUCAAGCCCAGGGCUGCUCUUCAGCUAUUCAAAUCAUUCUUGAAAGGAAAGCCCCUUCCCAAGUCUUAAAAAAGAAGAGAAGAAAACUCUCCAAAUUUAUUUAACAAGUUUCUUCUAUAUUGUUAUUUUUGUAGACAAAAGGGAUGUCUCAUUCUUAACCAUUGAAAGCAAUUAGUAGGCAGAAAGAGGGAAAGAGAAAAGCUUAAUUGUGUAUUAGAGAAAGCAAAAUAUUAAUUUCAAUGAUUUGGUGGGAAUAAUUAAAGGCAAAUUAUGAGCUCUUUGUCAAGCCUUGUUCCAAUUUUUUUUUUUUUUCAUCUGAAAAACGAAGACUGGUCAGAAUUGUCUUGAUUGGAACUUCAUUCUAAUUUUUUUAUAUAUAUUCCGCUAAUUAAGC
rnacentral:misc_RNA from 1 species